rnacentral:rRNA from 1 species
GAUAAGUUUUCAGUUCAUCACGUACGCAAGUGUGGUCGAUGCCGAUAAGGUUUAAAGAAAGGAUGACCACGUUUAGGAAAUAUAUAUGUGGUUCUUCGACCGGACCUGAACUUUUUUUGUCGGAAGUAAGUCAGUAUAGUAGUACCGGACCUGAACCUCGAUGGUGUACUUGUACAAAGAAGACGAACAAUAUGACCUCUAGUAAGACGAAUAGUGGUACCGCAGAUGUAGGUUGCUGGUGGUUCGGCUAGGAUUAACCGGGCCUACACAAACGGCGUGUUCAGGUACAAGAACGCCGGUAACUAGUACUGACAUUGACAUUUCAACAUUUACAAAUACCCGAUCUAGCACAACUAUUCUAUAUCCAGAUAGUAAGGAGAUACGACUUUUUUUUAAGAACAUACCUUCUUCUAGACUAACUUCAAGUUGUAAAACAUGGUUCCUAAUCGAGUGUGUCUACUCUCCUUCUCCUAAAACCGUGGGGAUUCCUAAACUUACAUUAAAAGAAAAAAGGAGUUCCCACAAACAUUUCUGAACAAUAUGAAUAAAUACAGGAACCCGGAAAGACAUUUUUUUCUAAGUCAAACUUAAAACAAAUCUCUUAUCAGAAGCUCGAGGCGGCACAAUCCGUACAGUGGUACAACACAACUUGCACUUCAGAUACCGAGUCACCUGACUCUAAGUUAAUUUAGGGUCGCCUGACUGUAGCCGUACACAGUCGUGCACUGUAGUUUCGGAUAAAAAAAACGUAACAACGGACGAACAGAAAAUAAAUCAAAAACCCAACCCAAAACGCUUCAGUUGACAACUCCCCAUAGGAAACUUUUACGGUGAGAGUAGAGGAGGCCACUACUGUACAGUAGUGAAUGGUGUUGAACCCUCAAAACCUCCCGAAACAGCGUUAA